GACGAACCGUACGAACGUUAUUCGGAAUUACUGGGCUUAAAGGGUGCGUAGGCGGCGCAGUAAGUUGGGUGUGAAAUCCCCGGGCUUAACCUGGGAACUGCAUUUGUGACUGCACGGCUAGAGUGUGUCAGAGGGGGGUAGAAUUCCACGUGUAGCAGUGAAAUGCGUAGAGAUGUGGAGGAAUACCGAUGGCGAAGGCAGCCCCCUGGGAUAACACUGACGCUCAUGCACGAAAGCGUGGGGAGCAAACAGG
rnacentral:rRNA from 1 species